CAAUGUGAGGGGGAUCUGGUUGUGACAUCUGUCACUCCACUGAUUGCCAGGGUUUAUUUGACUGAUCUGGCUGGUUAGGCAAGUGCUUCUUUCCUCCUUCACUACUCCAUCUGUGUCCCUUUCAAAGCUGCGUGGUCAAAAAGGAUGACCUUCCCUGACAGAGGAGGACCAUUUGGUCAAGAGUACAGAGUAGCUGUGCUCCCUUGCUACAACCUUCAAACAAGCUCUCAAGAUUUACUUUACUCCAGAAAAAAAAAAGGGUACAAUGAAGGACUUUGAUCCUUUGUGUAAACAAGAAAGUAUCUGGCAAUGGCAGA
rnacentral:snRNA from 1 species